UACGAAGGGGGCUAGCGUUGCUCGGAAUCACUGGGCGUAAAGCGCACGUAGGCGGCUUACUAAGUCAGGGGUGAAAUCCUGGAGCUCAACUCUAGAACUGCCUUUGAUACUGGUGAGCUUGAGUCCGGGAGAGGUGAGUGGAACUGCGAGUGUAGAGGUGAAAUUCGUAGAUAUUCGCAAGAACACCAGUGGCGAAGGCGGCUCACUGGCCCGGUACUGACGCUGAGGCGCGAAAGCUAGGGUAGCAAACGGGG
rnacentral:rRNA from 1 species